rnacentral:lncRNA from 1 species
CCCUUAUUUAUCCAUCUUUCUCUUUUUUCUCCUUUUGUUUUCCUUUCCCGUUUUCCCAUUUUUCAAGUGAGUUGUCCAAGGAUUUAAGAGCAUCCCAUUCUGCCAUUGGAGGAGCAUUUUGGUUUGACUGUUAUGAUAAGGAGUGAAGCAUAAAGGAGAAGUAAGGAAGUUGUGCCACGGAGAACCACCGGAAACGACUUUGCAUUUAUUUCCCUUCACUCUUUUAAUUUCUUAUUGUUCAAUUUAAGAAACAUAUUUGCAAUUAAAGUUUAUGUUUUUAAUAUAAUUAUGGUUGCUUAAUUCCUUCGGUGUUAGAAUAAUUUAAUUUAUAUAACUUAGAUUAUUAAUAUUGUUAUGAUGUUAUGUGCCUUGGUUAUUUAUGCAUUCAGAUAAAAUUAUGACUAUGUUAUUCAAACAUUAUAAAUGUAGGAAUGCAAUUGAAUUAAUUAAUUAAUCCUAAUCGGACUGUAAUUAAUUGACACAAUAUCUGAAUGGUGCAUGUUUAAUCUAUAUUUGAUAAAAUUAGAUUAAAUUUCAUAAUAAUUCGAGAGAACCCUAUUACCUUGCAUAAUUCUAGGAUUCAUGUGAUUAAAUUGUUUCAAUAUAAAAAUAUGUUAUACUUAAUUGCUAAGUUGUUGACAUGGACAUAUGUUAUACUUAAUAAUUUAAUAAGUUGAAUUCUUAAACGAUGCUUGAAAAGGUAACCUUGAAGUCGUAACAGACAUAGACAUAUGCAGACGAGAUGUUAAACUUCAGAAUUCGAGAGAAGCCAAAGUACUCGUAAUUUAAAUAGGAUUAAUAAACAACCUAGUUGCCAUGAAAUUUUUCGUAACAUCAUUAAUAGUAUUUAAAUAUUUAUAAGUUAAGAAGGAGAAUUAUUCUAACGCAUUCAUGCUAUUGUGUUUUCUCUUAAAGACUUGCACACUUAUUUUACUCUUUAUUUGAUUUAAUUUAAAACAUACUUAGGUUAGUUUAGUUUAAUUAAAACACAUCUCUUUAAUUUAUUUUCCAACACCGACCAAUUUGCUUAGUAAAUAAUUUUGCAAUAUUUGAUUUGCAUAAAUAGUCCCUACGGAGACGAUAACUCUUACUCACUACUUUAUUACUUAUCAACGAUUGUGUAUACUUGCACAUCAAUCAAAUUAUUUUGAGACAAUGACCGAUAUGGAGUGGGUUAUACAGUGGAUGCAGUGGAUGGCAUCGUUGGGCAUGGGCUACGCCCAAAAAUUUGGGAUUCCUAUUUCAGAGCCACCACCAAACUGAUACCCACCCAUGCCACAAGCCGAUAAGGAAUGGGAGGAGGAGGAAAAAGGGGACGAUGAGGACGAAGAAGAAGAGACGAACUUUGAGGAGGAUCUCGAUGAGGUUUUUCAAUCAGAGCCCGAUUAGUUCUCCGAGUCUGAGGGUUGCCACACCAAACACGGGUCGAAGGAAAGAUCCGAUGAUUGAGGAGUGUGGAAACACGAAAAUAUGUAGACUUUUUCAUGCCCUUUUUAACUCAAAUCCAUGUAGUUUCGGUGUAAUUCUUGUCAGAAAAAUAUAAUAUAAUUAUUAAAUUAUUAAAUUUUACUUAAA